rnacentral:rRNA from 1 species
GACAGAGGGUGCAAACGUUGUUCGGAAUUACUGGGCGUAAAGCGUGUGUAGGCGGCUACGUAAGUCGGAUGUGAAAGCCCCAGGCUCAACCUGGAAGUGCACUCGAUACUGCGUAGCUUGAGUAUCGGAGAGGUUGGUGGAAUUCUCGGUGUAGAGGUGAAAUUCGUAGAUAUCGAGAGGAACACCGGUGGCGAAGGCGGCUCACUGGCUCAUUAUCGACGCUCAGUGCGACAGCGUGGGGAUCAAACAGGAUUAGAACCUCGUAGU